AUGAUGGACUAUAGGACAGGACUGCUGCUUUUAACUCUCUGCUGGGCAGGUGUUGAUGGUCAGACUCUGACAGAAUCUGAACCAGUGGUUAAAAGGCCUGGAGAAUCCUACAGACUGACCUGUACAGCCUCUGGAUUCACAUUCAGCAGCUACGAUAUGCACUGGAUCAGACAGGCUCCUGGGAAAGGACUGGAGUGGAUUGCCUGGCAUGGCACUGGUAGCAGCAAAACCUACUCUCAGUCAGUCCAAGGCCGGUUUACCAUCUCCAGAGACAACAGCAGACAGCAGCUGUAUCUGCAGAUGAACAGUCUGAAGACUGAAGAUUCUGCUGUUUAUUAUUGUGCUCGAGACUCACAGUGACUGGAGUUGGUUGAGCAGCUGUACAAAAUCCUACAGUCCUGAUCUUUUGGAGUGGAACAGUCCAUGCAUGAACUAUUGU